rnacentral:rRNA from 1 species
GGCUCAGAAGCAGCCACCAUUAAAAGAGUGCGUAAUAGCUCACUGGUCGAGAGGCCCUGCGCCGAAAAUAUCCGGGGCUAAAGCACAGAACCGAAGCCGCGGCAGGGUGUACAUAUCUACAGAGCGUUCAAAGCGCAGGAAAAAUUGGUAUCUGCAAGGCGAUGGAGCGAUGCAUAGCAGCGCUAUACAGAGCGACAUCAACACAGCAGAGAGCGAUUUUAACAAGCUUUUUGAGCGUUGUGCUGAUGUGUACACACUGGGUAGGGGAGCGUUCUUAUCUGGACGAAGGCAGACCGGAAGGACUGCUGGACGGGUAAGAAGUGAGAAUGCCGGUAUGAGUAGCGAAACGACAGGUGAGAAUCCUGUCCACCGAAAGCCUAAGGGAUCCUGGGCAACGCUCGUCGCCCCAGGGUAAGUCGGGACCUAAGCCGAGGCGAGAAGCAUAGGCGAUGGACAACCGGUGAAAAUUCCGGUACCGGGUCAGUUUGUUUGAGGAUGGAGUGACGCAGGAAGGAAGCUGAGCGCGCGAAUGGAAGAGCGCGUCGAAGGCGGUAGGCUAGUACGGAGGCAAAUCCCCGUACUAUAAGGCCGAGAACCGAUAGAUAGGAGAGACUACGGUCAAUCUGAAUUCAGCCGCACUACACUGCCAAGAAAAGCUUCUAACGAGAAGACGUCCGCCCGUACCAAAACCGACACAGGUAGGCGGGGAGAGAAUCCUAAGGUGCGCGGGAAAACCCUCGUUAAGGAACUCGGCAAAAUGCAUCCGUAACUUCGGGAAAAGGAUGGCCGUUGAUGGUGAAGGUGUUUACCACCGGAGCUGUUGACGGCGGCAGAAAAGAGGCCCAAGCGACUGUUUACCACAAACACAGGUGCCUGCGAAAGCGCAAGCUGAAGUAUAGGUGCUGACGCCUGCCCGGUGCAGGAAGGUUAAGGAGAGUUGUUAGUCCUUGAGAUGAAGCAGCGAACUGAAGCCCCUGUAAACGGCGGCCGUAACUAUAACGGUCCUAAGGUAGCGAAAUUCCUUGUCGGGUAAGUUCCGACCCGCACGAAAGGCGUAACGAUUUGGGCACUGUCUCAACGAGGGACCCGGUGAAAUUGAAAUACCUGUGAAGAUGCAGGUUACCCGCGACUGGACAGAAAGACCCCAUGGAGCUUUACUGCAGCUUGGCAUUGGUCUUUGGCAUAUGACGUACAGGAUAGCCGGGAGACUGGGAGACCUACUCGCUAGAGUAGGAGGAGUCACCGUUGGGAUACCGGCCUUUAUAUGCUAAGGAUCUAACCGGAACAUUAACAGUGUUCGGGACAGUACCAGGCGGGCAGUUUGACUGGGGCGGUCGCCUCCGAAAGAGCAACGGAGGCGUCCAAAGGUUCCCUCAGCGCGGACAGAAAUCGCGCGAAGAGCAUAAAGGCAGAAGGGAGCUUGACUGCGAGACUGACGGGUCGAGCAGGUACGAAAGUAGGGCUUAGUGAUCCGGUGGAAAGAGAGUGGAAUUGCCAUCGCUCAACGGAUAAAAGCUACCCUGGGGAUAACAGGCUAAUCUCUCCCAAGAGUCCAUAUCGACGGGGAGGUUUGGCACCUCGAUGUCGGCUCAUCACAUCCUGGGGCUGAAGCAGGUCCCAAGGGUUGGGCUGUUCGCCCAUUAAAGUGGUACGUGAGCUGGGUUCAGAACGUCGUGAGACAGUUCGGUCCAUAUCCAUCGCGGGCG